ACCAACAUGUGAAGUUACAACGCUGAUGAAGGAGUUUCAUCAGUAGAGUGUGUCCUUGUAAACGUGUGCUCGGAAACAUGCAGAUUACAGUAUUUACAGAGCCGACCUUGAGGCACCCACUGAUGGAUAAUCUGUUUACCUAAAAACAGCCCACCACAAUCCAUGUUUACCAGCUGUGAAAGUGCAGGCCAAAAAUCUUCCUUCACCUGUGGGCCUCUUCCCACAUGUAGAUAAGCACUUCAGGAGAAACCGGCCUGUGAUCUGCUAAGAUGCACAGAUUCAACUCUGGCCCAUUGUCAUCCCAACACCUCAUCUGCCAUCAGUUUCGUUUAGUGUCGGUCUAUUGCAAAAGUUCUUAUAAACUUUAAAUGAGACUUUGUGUUAAGCAGAGGUUUCCAAACUUUUCAUUCCACAACAUAUUAAGCCCAGGAUACACAGCAGGAUUUUUGCAAUCCAAUAAGACCUUAUCACACUGUGUGACAAGGAUUGUUUAAACUUC